AGUUUAGACUACCUGUGAUGCAAUUAACGGGAUACUAUUCAACAAUACGGUACAUUUCUUCGAUGGAUCAAAGUGAGAGAGACAUUAUCCGCCGCGAUUGCAAGAAAUUUAAUGCAAAUAUUUUUUAGAAAUUCAUAUGAACAUGAUAAAGAUAACGUACACAGCGUGUUGACGCUUGCGGAUGAACGAGUAGUGUAUUUUUAGUGUGUAUAAGAAUAAACUGUUCAUUAUAAUACAAUUAACAUUGGAAAAACUGAAAUGAAUUUUUCCGAGUUGUUCCGUCAAAGUAGUCAAACUUGCAAGUUUUCCCCAGAUGGAAAGUACUUGGCCUCUGUGGUUGAAUUUCGUCUGGUGAUAAGGGACGUGGAUACACUGCAAAUACAGAACCUGUAUACAUGUUUAGAUACCAUCCAACAAAUAGAGUGGUCCUCAGACUCUCAGUUUAUCUUGUGUGGACUGUUUAAAAGAGGUAUUGUGCAGGUUUGGUCCAUAGAGCAGCCUGAGUGGACCUGUAAGAUAGAUGAGGGUUCUGCUGGACUUUGUGCUGUCCGCUGGAGCCCAGAUGGAAGACACAUACUGACUACAGCUGACUUUAAUCUGAGAAUAACAGUUUGGUCACUGGUGACAAAGUCUGUUUCCUACAUACGCUACCCCAAACAAUGCCAAAAACCAUUGGACUACAGUAAUGGAGGAAAGUACAUGGCCCUAGCUGAGAGGAGAGACUGCAAAGACUUUGUCACUAUUUUUGCUUGUGAUUCUUGGGAACUUGUGAAACAUUUUGAAACCGAGACGGAUGACUUGAUGGGUAUUGAAUGGUCUCCUGAUGGGAGAGUUUUAGCUGUUUGGGAAUCCCCAAUCAAAUACAAGGUGUUACUCUAUACACUGGAUGGAAGGUGUGUUUCUAAGUUCAGUGCCUAUGACAGUGCAUUAGGCAUCAAAUCUUUGGCCUGGUCCCCUACUGGUCAGUUCCUAGCACUGGGAAGCUACGAUGAAAAGCUGAGGAUUUUGAAUCACAUCACUUGGAAAGCAGUAGCAACCCACAGUCACCCUGCCAUUGUAAAGGAAGAGGAUGUGGUGGUGUAUAAGGAGAUAGAGACAAGGACACCCCUACCCCCAGGGAAUGACAUUGAUGCCCCAACAGCAGCCCUCUUUACUCCACAGAGUAAAUAUGAGGUUGAUCAACCUCCAGUGGAUAUUCCUGUUGUCAAACCAGACACAAAGCGAGCCAAUCCCAAACUAGGAGUGGGCAUACUGGCCUUUAGUUUUGAUUGCAAAUACAUCUACACAAGAAACGACAAUAUGCCAUGUACGUUAUGGAUAUGGGAUGUUCAGAAACUGAAACUGUCUGCUGUCAUCACUCAAGGGACUGCAAUCAAAUAUGUUGAGUGGGACCCUCAUCAGUCCCGCCUAGCCCUGUGUACUGGCACCAAUAGACUGUACAUGUGGUCUCCUGCUGGUAGUCUGUCUGUGGAGGUACCAGUGGAAGGUGUAUUUAAUGUUCAUUCCUUGAAGUGGCAUCCUGAUGGCAAUACUAUUCUGUUGCUUGGCAAGGACCAAAUGUGCGUUUGCUAUCUUUCUGACCUUGGAGCAGAGAACACCUAACCAAGAUAGAUAACUUGUGAAGCUUUUAGACAGUUACAGAAGAAUGGAUAAUAACGAUACAUACGUGGAGUUAGGAUUGUGACUUGUAGAAGUAGACAUGUCCAUCCUUGAAACAAAAAAGGCAGCAUUAUCUGCAAAUAAUUAGUAUAUUGUGUGCCUUAUUAACAAGAUGAUGUUUAUCAUUAAAGACAUUGUAUUACCUCAAUCAUCAUGUUUAAAAUUUUGACUGCAAAAAUGUACAUAAUCAUAUAUAAAUUUAAUCAUUAUAUUAAGGUGGAAUGCUACACCAACAUUUUAUUUUAUGGAUCGUUUCUGAAACAUGAUUUUCUUGUUAAAAGAAAGAUACAUGCUCUCAACUAAGCCGAGCCUAGUAUGAAGUUUAUACUAACCAGGUAUCGUCCUGUAUCCGGUCAAUACAUGAUUUUGUAACGAUUAUAUCAAAGGUAUGUCAAAAGUAAGAUAAUAAAUUAUGAUAUAGUUAGGGAGAGUUAUCUUUCCUUGUACAUUGAAUUUUGUACAAAUAAAUAUAAAAAUC
rnacentral:misc_RNA from 1 species